UAGAGAUGGGGUUUCACCAUGUUGGUCAGGCUGGUCUCAAACUCCUGACCUCAGGUGAUCCACCCACC
ensembl:miRNA